CCCCAUAUGCCGCGAGGUGAAAUGAAUUUCGCCUGAGGAUGAGCUCGCGUCUGAUUAGCUAGUUGGUGGGGUAAGAGCCUACCAAGGCUUCGAUCAGUAGCUGGUCUGAGAGGAUGAUCAGCCACACUGGGACUGAGACACGGCCCAGACUCCUACGGGAGGCAGCAGUGGGGAAUUUUCCGCAAUGGGCGAAAGCCUGACGGAGCAACGCCGCGUGAGGGAUGAAGGCCUCUGGGCUGUAAACCUCUUUUAUCAAGGAAGAAGAUCUGACGGUACUUGAUGAAUAAGCCACGGCUAAUUCCGUGCCAGCAGCCGCGGUAAUACGGGAGUGGCAAGCGUUAUCCGGAAUUAUUGGGCGUAAAGCGUCCGCAGGCGGUCUUACAAGUCUGUCGUUAAAGCGUGGAGCUUAACUCCAUUUCGGCGAUGGAAACUGUAAGACUAGAGUGUGGUAGGGGCAGAGGGAAUUCCCGGUGUAGCGGUGAAAUGCGUAGAUAUCGGGAAGAACACCAGUGGCGAAGGCGCUCUGCUGGGCCAUAACUGACGCUCAUGGACGAAAGCUAGGGGAGCGAAAGGGAUUAGAUACCCCUGUAGUCCUAGCCGUAAACGAUGAACACUAGGUGUCGGGGGAAUCGACCCCCUCGGUGUCGUAGCCAACGCGUUAAGUGUUCCGCCUGGGGAGUACGCACGCAAGUGUGAAACUCAAAGGAAUUGACGGGGGCCCGCACAAGCGGUGGAGUAUGUGGUUUAAUUCGAUGCAACGCGAAGAACCUUACCAGGGUUUGACAUCCUGCGAAUCCCUUGGAAACUUGGGAGUGCCUUCGGGAGCGCAGUGACAGGUGGUGCAUGGCUGUCGUCAGCUCGUGUCGUGAGAUGUUGGGUUAAGUCCCGCAACGAGCGCAACCCACGUCUUUAGUUGCCAGCAUUUAGUUGGGCACUCUAGAGAGACCGCCGGUGAUAAACCGGAGGAAGGUGUGGAUGACGUCAAGUCAUCAUGCCCCUUACAUCCUGGGCUACACACGUACUACAAUGCUACGGACAAAGGGCAGCAAACUCGCGAGAGCUAGCCAAUCCCAUAAACCGUGGCUCAGUUCAGAUCGUAGGCUGCAACUCGCCUACGUGAAGGAGGAAUCGCUAGUAAUCGCAGGUCAGCAUACUGCGGUGAAUACGUUCCCGGGCCUUGUACACACCGCCCGUCACACCAUGGAAGUUGGCCACGCCCGAAGUCGUUACUCCAACCCUUGUGGAGGAGGAUGCCGAAGGUGGGGCUGAUGACUGGGGUGAAGUCGUAACAAGGUAGCCGUACCGGAAGGUGCGGCUGGAUCACCUCCUA
rnacentral:rRNA from 1 species